rnacentral:rRNA from 1 species
GCGGGGAAGAGUAGCUUGCUACUUUACCUAGCGGCGGACGGGUGAGUAAUGCUUAGGAAUCUGCCUAUUAGUGGGGGACAACAUCUCGAAAGGGAUGCUAAUACCGCAUACGUCCUACGGGAGAAAGCAGGGGACCUUCGGGCCUUGCGCUAAUAGAUGAGCCUAAGUCGGAUUAGCUAGUUGGUGGGGUAAAGGCCUACCAAGGCGACGAUCUGUAGCGGGUCUGAGAGGAUGAUCCGCCACACUGGGACUGAGACACGGCCCAGACUCCUACGGGAGGCAGCAGUGGGGAAUAUUGGACAAUGGGGGGAACCCUGAUCCAGCCAUGCCGCGUGUGUGAAGAAGGCCUUUUGGUUGUAAAGCACUUUAAGCGAGGAGGAGGCUACCGAGAUUAAUACUCUUGGAUAGUGGACGUUACUCGCAGAAUAAGCACCGGCUAACUCUGUGCCAGCAGCCGCGGUAAUACAGAGGGUGCAAGCGUUAAUCGGAUUUACUGGGCGUAAAGCGCGCGUAGGUGGCCAAUUAAGUCAAAUGUGAAAUCCCCGAGCUUAACUUGGGAAUUGCAUUCGAUACUGGUUGGCUAGAGUAUGGGAGAGGAUGGUAGAAUUCCAGGUGUAGCGGUGAAAUGCGUAGAGAUCUGGAGGAAUACCGAUGGCGAAGGCAGCCAUCUGGCCUAAUACUGACACUGAGGUGCGAAAGCAUGGGGAGCAAACAGGAUUA